rnacentral:rRNA from 1 species
CCUACGGGAGGCUGCAGUGAGGAAUAUUGGUCAAUGGGCGAGAGCCUGAACCAGCCAAGUCGCGUGAGGGAGUACUGCCCUAUGGGUUGUAAACCUCUUUUGUCGGGGAGCAAAAGCCGGACGUGUCCGGCUGUGAGAGUAACCGAAGAAAAAGCAUCCGCUAACUCCGUGCCAGCCGCCGCGGUAAUACGGGGGAUGCGAACGUUAUCCGGGUUUAUGGGGUUUAAAGGGGGCGCAGGCGGAUUUUUUAGUCAGCGGUAAAAACGUGGGGCUCAACCCCAUCCAGCCGUUGAAACUGGGGAUCUAGAGUGUGCGAGAGGUAGGCGGAAUGCGUGGUGUAGCGGUGAAAUGCAUAGAUAUCACGCAGAACCCCGAUUGCGAAGGCAGCAUACCGGUGCACAACUGACGCUCAGGCACGAAAGCGUGGGUAUCGAACAGGAUUAGAUACCCCUGUAGUC